rnacentral:rRNA from 1 species
AAAUUGAAGAGUUUGAUCAUGGCUCAGAUUGAACGCUGGCGGCAGGCCUAACACAUGCAAGUCGAACGGUAACAGAAAGCAGCUUGCUGCUUUGCUGACGAGUGGCGGACGGGUGAGUAAUGUCUGGGAAACUGCCUGAUGGAGGGGGAUAACUACUGGAAACGGUAGCUAAUACCGCAUAAUGUCGCAAGACCAAAGAGGGGGACCUUCGGGCCUCUUGCCAUCGGAUGUGCCCAGAUGGGAUUAGCUUGUUGGUGGGGUAACGGCUCACCAAGGCGACGAUCCCUAGCUGGUCUGAGAGGAUGACCAGCCACACUGGAACUGAGACACGGUCCAGACUCCUACGGGAGGCAGCAGUGGGGAAUAUUGCACAAUGGGCGCAAGCCUGAUGCAGCCAUGCCGCGUGUAUGAAGAAGGCCUUCGGGUUGUAAAGUACUUUCAGCGGGGAGGAAGGGAGUAAAGUUAAUACCUUUACUCAUUGACGUUACCCGCAGAAGAAGCACCGGCUAACUCCGUGCCAGCAGCCGCGGUAAUACGGAGGGUGCAAGCGUUAAUCGGAAUUACUGGGCGUAAAGCGCACGCAGGCGGUUUGUUAAGUCAGAUGUGAAAUCCCCGGGCUCAACCUGGGAACUGCAUCUGAUACUGGCAAGCUAGAGUCUUGUAGAGGGGGGUAGAAUUCCAGGUGUAGCGGUGAAAUGCGUAGAGAUCUGGAGGAAUACCGGUGGCGAAGGCGGCCCCCUGGACAAAGACUGACGCUCAGGUGCGAAAGCGUGGGGAGCAAACAGGAUUAGAUACCCUGGUAGUCCACGCCGUAAACGAUGUCGAUUUGGAGGUUGUGCCCUUGAGGCGUGGCUUCCGGAGCUAACGCGUUAAAUCGACCGCCUGGGGAGUACGGCCGCAAGGUUAAAACUCAAAUGAAUUGACGGGGGCCCGCACAAGCGGUGGAGCAUGUGGUUUAAUUCGAUGCAACGCGAAGAACCUUACCUGGUCUUGACAUCCACAGAACUUUCCAGAGAUGGAUUGGUGCCUUCGGGAACUGUGAGACAGGUGCUGCAUGGCUGUCGUCAGCUCGUGUUGUGAAAUGUUGGGUUAAGUCCCGCAACGAGCGCAACCCUUAUCCUUUGUUGCCAGCGGUUAGGCCGGGAACUCAAAGGAGACUGCCAGUGAUAAACUGGAGGAAGGUGGGGAUGACGUCAAGUCAUCAUGGCCCUUACGACCAGGGCUACACACGUGCUACAAUGGCAUAUACAAAGAGAAGCGACCUCGCGAGAGCAAGCGGACCUCAUAAAGUAUGUCGUAGUCCGGAUUGGAGUCUGCAACUCGACUCCAUGAAGUCGGAAUCGCUAGUAAUCGUAGAUCAGAAUGCUACGGUGAAUACGUUCCCGGGCCUUGUACACACCGCCCGUCACACCAUGGGAGUGGGUUGCAAAAGAAGUAGGUAGCUUAACCUUCGGGAGGGCGCUUACCACUUUGUGAUUCAUGACUGGGGUGAAGUCGUAACAAGGUAACCGUAGGGGAACCUGCGGUUGGAUCACCUCCUUA